rnacentral:tmRNA from 2 species
GGGGAUGUAAAGGUUUCGACGGGGAUUUUGAAGUACAGUAAGCGGGUAGAGACGCCUGAUCUCUUUAAAAUUGGCAACCUAAAAUUAAACGCUAACGAUAAUCUCGAAUUAGCUGCUGCCUAAGUGCAGCGUGUCCGGUGAGUGAGUACCGCGGCUCUCACACGGGCAUCAUUCAGCGGUGAACGUGCGCGGCUCGUUCGUCCUUGACGCCGCCAUGCAAAAAAGGGCUGCCCCGCAGUUGAGCCCGCCGAACGGCGCUGCUGCGGGGGAGAUUCAAUAGCUCGGCUGCACCCGGAGAAAGCUAUAUGGAUGGAUUUUCGGACACGGGUUCGACUCCCGUCAUCUCCACCA